UCGGGUUGUAAAGCACUUUUGUCCGGAAAGAAAACUUCGGCCCUAAUACGGCGGGAGGAUGACGGUACCGGAAGAAUAAGCACCGGCUAACUACGUGCCAGCAGCGCGGUAAUCGUAGGGUGCGAGCGUUAAUCGGAAUUACUGGGCGUAAAGCGUGCGCAGGCGGUUCGUUAAGACAGAUGUGAAAUCCCCGGGCUUAACCUGGGAACUGCAUUUGUGACUGGCGAGCUAGAGUAUGGCAGAGGGGGGUAGAAUUCCACGUGUAGCAGUGAAAUGCGUAGAGAUGUGGAGGAAUACCGAUGGCGAAGGCAGCCCCCUGGGCCAAUACUGACGCUCAUGCACGAAAGCGUGGGGAGCAAACAGGAUUAGAUACCCUGGUAGUCCACGCCCUAAACGAUGUCAACUAGUUGUUGGGGAUUCAUUUCCUUAGUAACGUAGCUAACGCGUGAAGUUGACCGCCUGGGGAGUACGGUCACAAGAUUAAAACUCAAAGGAAUUGACGGGGACCCGCACAAGCGGUGGAUGAUGUGGAUUAAUUCGAUGCAACGCGAAAAACCUUACCUACCCUUGACAUGGUCGGAACCCUGCUG
rnacentral:rRNA from 1 species